rnacentral:antisense_RNA from 1 species
AGCGCGCGGCUGCGGCGCGGGAAGCAACCCAGAGCCCUCCUCCUGCCUGCUCUGUGUAGGAGACAGCCUGCGGAGCCCACUGCCGGCACGCAGAGAGCCCAGCAGCUCUUGAGUCCAGGAAGCAAGGGUGGGAGGAGGGACGAGCCAGUGGCAAUGACCCAGACCCGGAUGACCCCCAUUGCUGAGCCAGCGGAGCUGCUUGGCUCAAGCAGAGUCUUCCUCCUGGUGUUCCAGCAGGAGUUCAAGGUCCUGCUCCCUAUAGGAUAGCUAGAUUCUGAGGGCAAUGUUGAGAUCCUCAUCUCCAGAAGGUGCUGGUGCCAGAAAUAUGACAAAAGGCUGAUUGACGGGCCAGGCGCGGUGGCUCACGCCUGUAUUCCCAACACUUUGGGAGGCCAAGGCGGGUGGAUCAUGAGGUCAAGAGUUCGAGACCAUCCUGGCCAAUAUGGUGAAACCCUGUCUCUACUAAAAAUACAAAAAAUUAGCUGGGCGUGGUGGCACGCAUCUGUAGUCCCAACUACUUGGGAGGCUGAGGCAGGAGAAUUGCUUGAACCGGGAGGAGGAGGUUGCAGUGAGCAGAGAUCGUGCCACUGCUCUCCAGCCUGGGCAGCAGACUGAGUGAGAUUCCGUCUAAAAAAAAAAAGAGGCCUGGUGUGGUGGCUCAGGCCUGUAAUCCUAGCACUUUGGGAGGCUGAGGCAGGUAGAUUGCCUGAGGUCAAGAGGUCAGGACCAGCCUGUCCAACAUGGUGAAACCCCAUCUCUACUAAAAAUGCAAAAAUUAGCCAGAUGUGGUGGCACAUGCCUGUAAUCCCAGCUACUUCGGAGGCUGAGGCAGGAGAAUCGCUUGAACCCAGAGUGUGGAAGUUGCAGUGAACCAAGAUCAUGCCACUUCACUCCAACCUGGGCGAAAGAGCAAAACUUCAUCUCAAAAAAAGAAAAGUAUUAAAAAAAAAAAAAAUAACAACAA